UACGAAGGGGGCUAGCGUUGUUCGGAAUUACUGGGCGUAAAGCGCACGUAGGCGGAUCUGUAAGUAGGGGGUGAAAUCCCCGGGCUCAACCCGGGAACUGCCUUCUAGACUGCAGACCUUGAGAUCAGGAGAGGCGAGCGGAAUUCCGAGUGUAGAGGUAAAAUUCGUAGAUAUUCGGAGGAACACCAGUGGCGAAGGCGGCUCGCUGGACUGAUACUGACGCUGAGGUGCGAAAGCGUGGGGAGCAAACAGG
rnacentral:rRNA from 1 species